GGAGAAAUGCCAGAGUGGUCGAAUGGGGCAGUCUCGAAAACUGUUGUGUGUUUUUACAUACCGUGGGUUCGAAUCCCACUUUCUCCG
rnacentral:tRNA from 1 species